GUGCGGGAGCGGCCCCGGGACGGGAUGGGUCUGUGCGGGAGCGGGGUCCGGCGCCUCGGCAGCCCACAGGCGUGCGUGUCACGAGAGUGUCGCUGACACUUCACCGGCACCCACGGCGUGACUCCACAGCAGGGUGGAGGCUCCCUCCCUCCGUGGCUAAGCCGGGGGAUGCGGAACGGGUAGAGGUUGCCCAGUGUGGUGUUGUGUGAUUCUAACACUCCCACGGCUACACACAGCCACGUCUCUCAGCACCGCACCUACCUGUCUGCUAAAUGCCCCCAGGGGUGGUGAGCGCAGAACUCCCCUGGGCAGCCUGUGCAGGGCUCCACAGCCUUUUCAAAGAAGAAUAUCCAACCUAAACCUUCCUGGCACAAUCUGACUGCUUAAGAAAGAGGGGGAAGUAUUUCUGGGACUCCUGAGGCUCCCACGCCUAUUUCGCUGCCCAUGUUUGCAGCGGAAAGUGGAGCCCAAGUGCUGGCCAUCACCCUGGUGUUUAGGACCCAUCUCAUCUAUUGAGCUGCUGCUAUUUCAGCUCGGUUUGUGCAAAAUAAGAGAAGCAUCAGCAAGCAAGCAAAGGGCUGCACGAACAAAGAGCCUUUGUUCUUCCCCAUGGCCUCGGUAAGAAAAAUGUGAGAGGGGAGAAAAACAGCAGAUCCCAUCUGAGACAGGAUAGGAAAGCGUCUGCUGCCAGAGCGCGUUUCAGAGCCGGGCUGCAGGCACCCUCGGCGCAUCUGACGACGCCUGGGCCGAGAGCGCAGGAGGGCACAUCAAGGCAGCCCUAGCAGAUACAGAGUUUCAGCUAAGGAGGCUACCCAGGGUGAAUGGCAUUUGGCAGCUUAUUAGAUGUUGUUUUCAACCAGCCUGCCACGGCCACGUCUGGCACUUCAGGCGCGGCACUGCAGCCCUGAGAGAAGACAGACAGCUGUGUGCGCUCAGACGGGCGAGGACGAGAGGUGCUAGGGGCAGGUGUGACAGAGGCCUGCAUUGUCUGCCUAAAUGCCCCCUGCCUUUGAAACCUUGCCUUCUUUGCUUCCCGGGCCUGGGGCUCUGAUCUCCAGGCUGUUUGCAGUGCCUGCACGCUGAAGGUGGUGAGCUGCUGGGCUGGUUGCUAAUGAAGCGUGCUGUGGAGUCUGCCACAUAGCAGGAGGACUUCAUAAGCUUGGCACCUGUUCCAGAUGAAUGGAGUUGAUGGCAUGGGCUGGAAAUGUGUCUGUCUUCAGCCCAGCUUGGCAUGACUGAGGAUUAUCUCUGUAAAUCAUGGACUCUCACAAGAACAGUGAGCAAAGCUCAGCUGGGUCCAGGUGCCCUGCAGAUCCAGAGUAAACCUCUGCUCUUGGGCCGUGUAUUUGCUGCCUGUGCAUCAGCCAAAGCCAACAAUACUGAGGAGCCCACUGCUCUUCUGUAGAGAAUCAGAGAAGUGGAAUUCAGGCCUUUUAAAGCUGCAGAAAAGGCUUUUGCUCAUGAAUGAGGAAUAAGGUUUGUUCUAGCGGGAGUGCAGAAGGUUCUCAAAGAGCUCUCACAGAGAUCUGGUCCCCGUGUGGCAGGUAUAAACUAUACCAGACAGAAUUAGUCAGUAUAGCAGAGGUGUUUGUCCUUCCUUCUCUCCAUGUCUUUUCUCUUAACCUCACCAUAUCACUGCCUGAUUCAGGCUUAAAUUUGAUUGAAGAUGAUUGGAUUUUGAAGUUGCUGUUGUCUUGUUUGUUUCUGGUUUAAUUUGAUCCAAGACCCUCAAUAAUUUAUUCCUCUUUCAUCAAGGAACCACAUUUUGCCUCUAAACUGCAGGGCCAGACCCAUUAGGGGCCAUAAAGGCAGUCUGAGAGCUGAAGAGUGGUUGGAGAGCCUUGUCCCUGCGGGCCCAGCCACCUGCAGCCUAGGGCACUGACUCAGGCUGCAGAGAUCCCAGCUGCAGAGCAGAGGUUUGAAGAGCCCACACGCCUGGGAAGAGGGAAGAGCAUCCUCACUCCUGAGCUGCAGCAUGUUUGAGGGAGGCCUUCCCUGGUCAGCGAGUUCCUUUUGUAUUAAGUAUUUCACUGUUCAUUGGAACAAGAACAAAGACACUCUGAGGUAAUGGUUCUAAAUAAUGUCGUUGCUUAGAGAAUGAAUUAGUCUCGCUCAGAGGAUUCUGUCAGUCACACUGGGUGCAAAGGGAGCUGCCUGGCUUCUGUGGCACUCCUGUGGAUGCCUCCCUCAGAACUGAGGAUCCCCAAGACUGAGGAACAGAGUCUUAGUGUACAGUCUGUGGAGAGACAGGCUUAGAAUCCUUCUCAGGAGACUGGGGCAGCUCUGGAUGCUUAAGCCAUGGAGAAAUUCAAAGCUUUUUCAAGACAGGCUGAUGGUGCUGCCUGAUGCUGAGAAAAUGAUGCUGCAACUCAAGAGGCUGCAGCAGUGUCACAGCCUGCAGCAUGAAUGCCAUGAGAGCUCUACUCAUAAGUUCUUGCUGCUAAGCAUGCUCUGAAGCAUUGCAUGCCAGGAGAAGGCAAGGUUAUCACUGGAAAGUUGGCUGUGCCUUAAAACUACCUGCAGGAUGAGUUACUGGAGUCUAAUUCUUCAGACCUUUGACAAAGCCCUGCAGAACCUUCAGCCCAAGCAAAGGAGUGUCCAGACACUGAAAAGUAAACUGGCUUGGAGGUUUGGAGGGUUGCUGUGGAGCAGGAUCAAGAAGUUUGGACUGAACUUUCACCUCAAACAGUUUAACUGAGCCUCCUGACUCUGCUGAAUAGGAAUUAAACCCCAUGGCUUUGUAGUGGUGAGAUCCUGGGUGCACUGUGCUGCGCCACAGCCCAGGAGCGAUGCCUGAGGGAGGAGCAGAGAAAAGCUACCAAAGCAGGGGCUCUUUUCUGACCCAAGUCUGGAGGGGUUCUCACAGACUGAUGGGCACUGCUGGGAAGGUGGGCUCCAGGGGCAGCAGGAGGAGGUGAUGGUGACCUUCUGAGCACACUGCCUAGAGGGACCAGCAGAGCCACUGGAUGGUGUCCACACACUAGGUGCUAGGUUACCCCACCGGCAAUGGCCCAGCUGCACCUGGGAGACCUCCUCUCUUCCUGGCCUGUCCUCCUGCCUCACAGCAAUUCCCACACCCCCUGGCACCUGCUCGCCCACCGCUGCCUACCCGGGCCCCCAGCAGCCCCAGCCCCUCCCUUUGGAUGCAGGUGGUGGUGAUGUCCCUGCCCUCAUUGCCCACCAGCCUGCACUGCUCUGUUUCGCUUGCUGAGGCUGCUCACAUCUUCAUGACUGAUUGUGUUUGAGCUGAGCCUGGCCCGGCCUGGGCUGUUUGCCUGGGAGGAGCUACCUAAGCAGAACUGGUGCUGUAUUUUCUCUGCCUAAUAGCAGCUUGAGCUUGGAGUUUAAGACAGUUUUAGCCCUUUGCUGAGACAUCAGCCCUCAACCUCAGCGCUUUGAGCUCUGCAGCCUCCUCUGCUUGCUAUGGGCUUAGAGCCCAGAGAGGUUCAGAUCUGUUCCCUUCUGCCAGUGAUGCCUUUGCAGUGCUGCUAGGGGCAGGGGCAUAGCAGCCAUCCUCUUCUCACUGGCCUGGCACUUUGCCACCUGUCUCUGGGGCAGGGAUGCUCCUGCUGUCAGCCCCAGCCUUGUCACCAGGCUGGUCAGAGCCAGGGCUGAACAAAGACAACCUUGAAGAUUCAAAAAGAGGUUCCUGUGAGCAGCUGCUGGGUUAUUUACAGCACAGAUGCUGAACUGGGAGGCAGGAAGGAGACCAUGGGAGCUCACCAGCUGUGUGGCUGCCCAAACAAGUGGGAAAGGACUUU